UCACAAGAAAUUAAAAUGCAGCGGUAUUACAGAGUGGUCUUCAUCUUGGCUUCAAACUGACAGACUGAAAUAUGACAUUAAACGGAUAUUGACAAGACCUUCUAGGUAGGGAAUUUUAUGUGUAUGUAGUUAUAUUGUAUUUUAGAAAUGCAAAAAAUAUUUUUACUUAACUGAAUGAAUUUAAUUAGAUAUUAAACGAAUGAGUGAGAAUAAACAAUUUAAAUUAAUAGUCACAUAAAAUUAUUUAUGAUAAUUUCAUGACGGUGAAAGCGAAAAUUUUGCCAACAAGGUAAUGACGUCACUUGGUAAAAAAGAAGAACAAAAUGAUAAAAAUAAACUGAAGAAAAAUAAAAAUAAAAAGAAAUUUAUUAGAUGGUAUUUUCUCCCCAAGCUAACAUUUUAAGGUCCCUCUUGUUUUUUUUUAAAUAACUAAUAGAAACCAAUUUUUUUUGCUUUGUUAGAACAUUUGGCCUUAGAAUAAUUUAAACAAUUUAUAAAAACUUAUAUAUUUUGCUCUUUUUCUUAUUUAAAAAAAAUAAAUAAAUUUUAAAAAUCAUUAGCGUGGAUGUCCCCGACCUGAUUUUUCAAUGAAUCCAUAGCAAUAUUUUCAUCGUGGAGGUAAUAACUUAUUUUGUAAUAGUUUACAUGUACCCUAAUAACCACUUAUUCCAACCAUACAACAACAGUUUUAAAAUGUAAUAUAAAUAACUUAAUAUGACAGCUUAAAGUUUGUCCCCAACUGUCCGCGUCAUUAGCGUGGACCAACAGUUAACAGUUUAAAAUUCCCGCGUGAUAUACCCAACCGGAAAUUACCGUUUAUAUUUAAAUUUCUAUCCCCUCCAACAAUACAGUUAAGGUAUUUUUCCUGCGCAAUAUUUAUUUAGUCUUCAGAGAUACGCGUUAAAAAGUACGUGCACGUGGUCGUGUAUUAAGCUUCGUCAUUAGAGUGGAGGAAUCAUUGAAAAAAUUGAUCGAAACAUUAUGACUGUUAACUUUAUGAUGAAAAAUGGUAAAAGUUUUUUCUGGCCAGAUAUCGCUGAUCGUCAAACUGUGACUACUAGAAAUGGAAUCUUAUGUCAGCUAGUGCAUCCACCUGAACCAGUUUCCAAUAGAUUCUACAAAAUACAAGAAUAUGACUAUAUUGAUAAUUUAUUUAAAUCUUCAGUUUAGAUGUUGUAUGGUAAAGGAAUGAAAUCAAGUGAAUGGUUUCACAUAGCUGA
rnacentral:misc_RNA from 1 species